UCUUACCAUGCAAGUCGAACGGAGAUUCAGCAAUGGAUCUUAGUGGCGAACGGGUGAGUAACGCGUAGGCAAUCUGCCUUCUAGAUGGGGACAACAUCCCGAAAGGGGUGCUAAUACCGAAUGUUGUACCGUUUCCGCAUGGAGAUGAUACUAAAGGUGGCCUCUGAAUAUGCUACCGCUAGAAGAUGAGCCUGCGUCUGAUUAGCUAGUUGGAGGGGUAACGGCCCACCAAGGCUUCGAUCAGUAGCCGGUCUGAGAGGAUGAACGGCCACACUGGGACUGAGACACGGCCCAGACUCCUACGGGAGGCAGCAGUGGGGAAUCUUCCGCAAUGGACGAAAGUCUGACGGAGCAACGCCGCGUGAGUGAAGAAGGUUUUCGGAUCGUAAAGCUCUUUCGUUAGGGACGAACGUGCUCUUUGUGAAUAAUGAAGAGUAAUGACGGUACCUAAAUAAGAAGCCACGGCUAACUACGUGCCAGCAGCCGCGGUAAUACGUAGGUGGCAAGCGUUGUCCGGAAUUAUUGGGCGUAAAGCGCGCGCAGGCGGGAUAUCAAGUCUGUCUUAAAAGUGCGAGGCUCAACCUCGUGAGGGGACGGAAACUGGUAUUCUUGAGUGUCGGAGA
rnacentral:rRNA from 1 species